GUACCCCCAGCGUUAAGCAAUGCAUGACUGUACACAUAAAACCUAUACAACCAGGAAUCAAGUGGCCAAGGCUAGAAGCACAUGUGUCCAGCCAUGCGUAGAAGCAACACGGAGUUUCUACUGACACCGAACUUCACCUGAGUUUCGAGGCCCUGCAAAAGGAUGGUCAAGAAGCUCCACCUUCCACGUUCCAGAAAUGGUUCCCUGCGAAGAUCACCUUCCUCGCAGGUCGUAGAGGAGACCCAGGGGUCCUCUUUCUACCCGGGCAGGCCAGGCUCAGACCCUCCAAAUUCCCUGUUCUUGUCUCACAAGUAACUGACCACGGUGGACGAGACACCCACAGUGACGGGGCCAUCCAGUGCUCCGUACAGGGAGUAGCAAGCCCUGGCCUGCUUCUCCAGGCGUCUGCUAACCCCAGCCUAAGACCCCUCCCGCUGACCAUUCCGCCCAUCCUCCCCCGUAGGGCGUCUCUCUGGCGGUGGUCAUUCCUUCUCAUACGAGAGAAGCACAUGUCUUCCUGAGUGGGAGAGGCUUUGGGGUCUCCUGGCUGGAACCUUUCCCUGUUGAGAGAACCCUUCCUUACCUGAGUUCAGAUGUAUUAUUUUAUUGGACACAGCACCACCUAGAUAUGUCCUAUUUAUCUGCAAGUCAAGUGCAAGAAAACCUGCUAAGAUAACAUGUGUGAUGCAAUCUGCAUAUUGCAAUGUUUUAAUUUUUUCCCAUUUUAUAGUCAAUAACUUGGGCUUCAUUUUCCGUUCUCUAAAAUGAGGGCUGGGAAGAGUUAGGCAGCAUGUCAGCGCUAGGUGGCGCCCGAGGAUUUUCUUUUAACAAAUGAUCCCAAAUGUUCUGGAAUUCGCGGCUCUUCCCGCCCAAAGCGCCGCAGCGUCCAAGGGCGGUUACCACACCGCGUGCCAGGGCGCGUCUUGCCUCCCGUGGGCCUCGCAGCGGUCCGGGCAGGUGGCUGAGGGUGGCCUGUGUUCGUCUUUCCCAGCUUUGUGGAGGUGUAACUGGGCCUGUGGGCACACGGACGCCCUCCCUAUCGCGCUGAUGGGCCCGGGGACGGUCCCCGUGUCCCUGGAGCUCACAGAGCCGCCAUGCGCGGCCGAGGGCUCUGCGGAUUCACCCUGUUCCAGGCUGCGCCGACUCUGCUCGCUUCACGUGUGCUGUUUCCUCACAGGUCGGGCCGGACGCGGAUACACCCGCCUCCGUAGGCCUGAGCGAGCCUGAGCGUCUGGGCGCGCCGAGUCCCCGCCGAGGAAACGUCCCAUGUGGAGACACGAGGCUGCUGUGGACGCGCCCCCUCCCUCUGCCCCGGCGCGGCUCCCCCGCACUGGCGCUGUGGACUCGGUGCGGCUCCUCCGCAGGGACAAAAUGGAGUCAUCAGGCCACGCUGCUGCGAUGGAACCCGAGGCCUGCGGGGCCGGCAGAGCCCGAGGCGUGUUGGCCCCGCUCCUCAGAGGGGCCGGUGAGGGGCCUAUCUCCCCGGGGUGGGCCGGAGCCAGGAUGACCGAGCAUCGCAGCCGCGUGGACGGACCCGGGGUCAGGGCCCCGGCUGGACGGUGAAUCUGGGCGCCUGGAGCAGCGCAGACCCCACGGGCCUGUGGGGUUGCUGGACCUUUUAACCGCGUCCCGGGCCGGGGGUCCACAUCCCCGCUCCGACUGCAGCGCCACCUGCGUCCCGGCCUUGGGGGCCACCGUUUCCCUCCUGGGACGGCGCCAUCCCUCCGCCUCGGCUCCAACAGCCGGGGACGGCGGGGAAAGUGGCAGCCAGCGGCGUCCGGGGCCACCUGGGACCGGGCUUGUCACCUCGCAUUCCAGAAAACACAAAGCCCUGAGCCCCGGGGACUUUCUCUAAAAACACAGUUGGCCACGCCUCACUGAGUAAUUGGUGCUUCUUCAUUUUAACAAGACGGAUCAUCUGUACACCAGCCAGACCUCACCCCAACCCUAAAAGUAACCGUAACUGUAAAAAAUAUCCAACAAAGCUAGAUGUGAAAACUGCAAGGGUGGCAGAAAAUAAAACAGAAGAGGCGAAUGUUAGCUUCCUGCAAUCCCAUGUGUGUGGGAAAUGUGCGUCUAGCGGCAGGCUGUGAUUACUGCUUAAUGAAGGCUGAUAUAAACCUCACCCCAUGCCUGCUGGAAACAGAUUCAUUCACACGAUGCUCCAGCCUGGGACCAAGGCACGCAGUGCACAAGCAGCAAGGUUGGGAAAUGCUCCUGGAAGCAAAUGUCUAAAAACCUGGGCACGAAACGGAUGGGAUAUUCAGGUUUGUCACACGCAACUGGAUGGAAUUAAAAUAAGUGACGUGAAUUGACAUACUGAAAAAUUCAGCGUGAUGUGUAAUGAGGAAGAUGAUGUCAGUAGGAAAACACAGAGGCCUGAGCCAGUUGUAGGGAUGAACGAGAAAUAGGCCCCAGUGUAAGUCACCCGAGUCCCUGUGCUCCGAGCUGUGGACUUCUGCCCUUCCCCUUCCUUCUCCUGUCUCUUUCUCAGUCUCGGCCUUGGUCUGUCGCCUGUAACAAGAACUUUCAGUCAACUUCCAAUCAAAGGCACCUAAAUCACAGUCACUGAAGCAAGGACAAAGUGCCUGAGUCAUACAUUAAA
rnacentral:lncRNA from 1 species